rnacentral:rRNA from 1 species
UACAGAGGGGGCAAGCGUUGUUCGGAAUUACUGGGCGUAAAGGGCGCGUAGGUGGCCCGCUAAGUCGAACGUGAAAUCCCCGAGCUCAACUCGGGAACUGCGUCCGAUACUGGUGGGCUUGAAUCCGGGAGAGGGAUGCGGAAUUCCAGGUGUAGCGGUGAAAUGCGUAGAUAUCUGGAGGAGCACCGGUGGCGAAGGCGGCAUCCUGGACCGGCAUUGACGCUGAGGCGCGAAAGCUAGGGGAGCAAACGGG